rnacentral:rRNA from 1 species
UACGUAGGGGGCAAGCGUUGUCCGGAAUCAUUGGGCGUAAAGAGCGUGUAGGCGGCCCGGUAAGUCCGCUGUGAAAGUCCAGGGCUCAACCCUGGGAUGCCGGUGGAUACUGUCGGGCUCGAGUCCGGAAGAGGAGUGUGGAAUUCCAGGUGUAGCGGUGAAAUGCGCAGAUAUCUGGAAGAACACCCGUGGCUAAGGCGGCUCUCUAGUACGGUACUGACGCUGAGACGCGAAAGCGUGGGGAGCGAACAGG